rnacentral:rRNA from 1 species
GGGUUGUGAGGUUAAGCGACUAAGCGUACACGGUGGAUGCCCUGGCAGUCAGAGGCGAUGAAGGACGUGCUAAUCUGCGAUAAGCGUCGGUAAGGUGAUAUGAACCGUUAUAACCGGCGAUUUCCGAAUGGGGAAACCCAGUGUGAUUCGUCACACUAUCAUUAACUGAAUCCAUAGGUUAAUGAGGCGAACCGGGGGAACUGAAACAUCUAAGUACCCCGAGGAAAAGAAAUCAACCGAGAUUCCCCCAGUAGCGGCGAGCGAACGGGGAGGAGCCCAGAGCCUGAAUCAGUGUGUGUGUUAGUGGAAGCGUCUGGAAAGGCGCGCGAUACAGGGUGACAGCCCCGUACACAAAAAUGCACAUAUUGUGAGCUCGAUGAGUAGGGCGGGACACGUGGUAUCCUGUCUGAAUAUGGGGGGACCAUCCUCCAAGGCUAAAUACUCCUGACUGACCGAUAGUGAACCAGUACCGUGAGGGAAAGGCGAAAAGAACCCCGGCGAGGGGAGUGAAAAAGAACCUGAAACCGUGUACGUACAAGCAGUGGGAGCACGCUUAGGCGUGUGACUGCGUACCUUUUGUAUAAUGGGUCAGCGACUUAUAUUCUGUAGCAAGGUUAACCGAAUAGGGGAGCCGAAGGGAAACCGAGUCUUAACUGGGCGUUAAGUUGCAGGGUAUAGACCCGAAACCCGGUGAUCUAGCCAUGGGCAGGUUGAAGGUUGGGUAACACUAACUGGAGGACCGAACCGACUAAUGUUGAAAAAUUAGCGGAUGACUUGUGGCUGGGGGUGAAAGGCCAAUCAAACCGGGAGAUAGCUGGUUCUCCCCGAAAGCUAUUUAGGUAGCGCCUCGUGAAUUCAUCUCCGGGGGUAGAGCACUGUUUCGGCAAGGGGGUCAUCCCGACUUACCAACCCGAUGCAAACUGCGAAUACCGGAGAAUGUUAUCACGGGAGACACACGGCGGGUGCUAACGUCCGUCGUGAAGAGGGAAACAACCCAGACCGCCAGCUAAGGUCCCAAAGUCAUGGUUAAGUGGGAAACGAUGUGGGAAGGCCCAGACAGCCAGGAUGUUGGCUUAGAAGCAGCCAUCAUUUAAAGAAAGCGUAAUAGCUCACUGGUCGAGUCGGCCUGCGCGGAAGAUGUAACGGGGCUAAACCAUGCACCGAAGCUGCGGCAGCGACGCUUAUGCGUUGUUGGGUAGGGGAGCGUUCUGUAAGCCUGUGAAGGUGUGCUGUGAGGCAUGCUGGAGGUAUCAGAAGUGCGAAUGCUGACAUAAGUAACGAUAAAGCGGGUGAAAAGCCCGCUCGCCGGAAGACCAAGGGUUCCUGUCCAACGUUAAUCGGGGCAGGGUGAGUCGACCCCUAAGGCGAGGCCGAAAGGCGUAGUCGAUGGGAAACAGGUUAAUAUUCCUGUACUUGGUGUUACUGCGAAGGGGGGACGGAGAAGGCUAUGUUGGCCGGGCGACGGUUGUCCCGGUUUAAGCGUGUAGGCUGGUUUUCCAGGCAAAUCCGGAAAAUCAAGGCUGAGGCGUGAUGACGAGGCACUACGGUGCUGAAGCAACAAAUGCCCUGCUUCCAGGAAAAGCCUCUAAGCAUCAGGUAACAUCAAAUCGUACCCCAAACCGACACAGGUGGUCAGGUAGAGAAUACCAAGGCGCUUGAGAGAACUCGGGUGAAGGAACUAGGCAAAAUGGUGCCGUAACUUCGGGAGAAGGCACGCUGAUAUGUAGGUGAAGUCCCUUGCGGAUGGAGCUGAAAUCAGUCGAAGAUACCAGCUGGCUGCAACUGUUUAUUAAAAACACAGCACUGUGCAAACACGAAAGUGGACGUAUACGGUGUGACGCCUGCCCGGUGCCGGAAGGUUAAUUGAUGGGGUCAGCGCAAGCGAAGCUCUUGAUCGAAGCCCCGGUAAACGGCGGCCGUAACUAUAACGGUCCUAAGGUAGCGAAAUUCCUUGUCGGGUAAGUUCCGACCUGCACGAAUGGCGUAAUGAUGGCCAGGCUGUCUCCACCCGAGACUCAGUGAAAUUGAACUCGCUGUGAAGAUGCAGUGUACCCGCGGCAAGACGGAAAGACCCCGUGAACCUUUACUAUAGCUUGACACUGAACAUUGAGCCUUGAUGUGUAGGAUAGGUGGGAGGCUUGGAAGUGUGGACGCCAGUCUGCAUGGAGCCGACCUUGAAAUACCACCCUUUAAUGUUUGAUGUUCUAACGUUGACCCGUAAUCCGGGUUGCGGACAGUGUCUGGUGGGUAGUUUGACUGGGGCGGUCUCCUCCUAAAGAGUAACGGAGGAGCACGAAGGUUGGCUAAUCCUGGUCGGACAUCAGGAGGUUAGUGCAAUGGCAUAAGCCAGCUUGACUGCGAGCGUGACGGCGCGAGCAGGUGCGAAAGCAGGUCAUAGUGAUCCGGUGGUUCUGAAUGGAAGGGCCAUCGCUCAACGGAUAAAAGGUACUCCGGGGAUAACAGGCUGAUACCGCCCAAGAGUUCAUAUCGACGGCGGUGUUUGGCACCUCGAUGUCGGCUCAUCACAUCCUGGGGCUGAAGUAGGUCCCAAGGGUAUGGCUGUUCGCCAUUUAAAGUGGUACGCGAGCUGGGUUUAGAACGUCGUGAGACAGUUCGGUCCCUAUCUGCCGUGGGCGCUGGAGAACUGAGGGGGGCUGCUCCUAGUACGAGAGGACCGGAGUGGACGCAUCACUGGUGUUCGGGUUGUCAUGCCAAUGGCACUGCCCGGUAGCUAAAUGCGGAAGAGAUAAGUGCUGAAAGCAUCUAAGCACGAAACUUGCCCCGAGAUGAGUUCUCCCUGACUCCUUGAGAGUCCUGAAGGAACGUUGAAGACGACGACGUUGAUAGGCCGGGUGUGUAAGCGCAGCGAUGCGUUGAGCUAACCGGUACUAAUGAACCGUGAGGCUUAACCUUACAACGCCGAAGGUGUUU